rnacentral:lncRNA from 1 species
UGAGGUCCGCGAUGUCGAGUGAGGAAGUCCGGCACCGGGCAGAGUCCUCUGAGGCCCGUGCGGCCGCGGUCAGCGACAUCCAGGAGCUGAUGCGACGCAAGGAGGAAAUCGAGGCGCAGAUCAAGGCUAAUUACGACGUCCUCGAGAGCCAAAAAGGAAUUGGCAUGAACGAGCCUCUAGUGGACUGCGAGGGCUACCCCCGGGCAGAUGUGGAUUUGUAUCAGGUCCGAACAGCAAGGCACAACAUCAUCUGUCUCCAGAAUGAUCACAAGGCACUGAUGAAGCAGGUGGAGGAGGCCCUACACCAGCUACAUGCUCGGGACAAAGAGAAGCAGGCUCGGGACAUGGCUGAAGCCCGAGAAGAGGCCAUGAACCGUAGGCUGGCCUCGGACAGUCCCGCCCUACCCAAGGCCUUUGCCAGAGUGAACAGUAUCAGCCCUGGUUCCCCAGCCAGUAUUGCGGUAAUUUUGCUGACUCCCCCAAAUCUACUCUUAGCAGUACCAUGAGUUAGGUAGCCCUGGGUGCGGAGGCCUGCCAGAAGCCAGACCCACCCUCUCAUUCUGUGGCUGAAUUCCUUUAUCCCUUUGACACAUGCUGGCCAGAGUUUGGUGUACAUUGGGUCAGCUUACUGGACUCAUGGAGAGACCUGUUGUGGGACCCCAGGGACACAGUGUAGAAGGUGAUACAUGUCUCCCCAUUAAAGGCGUGGACCCAUUUCCCUGGACAGGGAAGGAAAAAAGUGACGAG